UAGUCCACGCCGUAAACGAUGGAUACUAGCUGUUGGGGGUAUCGACCCCCCCAGUAGCGAAGCUAACGCGUUAAGUAUCCCGCCUGUGGAGUACGGUCGCAAGACUAAAACAUAAAGGAAUUGACGGGGACCCGCACAAGCGGUGGAUCGUGUUCUUUAAUUCGAUGAUAAACGAAGAACCUUACCAGGGUUUGACAUCCUUGGAAUUACUCCGAAAGGAGUGAGUGCUUUAUUGAGCCAAGUGACAGAUGUUGCAUGGCCGUCGUCAGCUCGUAUCGUGAGAUGUUUGGUUAAGUCCAUCAACGAGCGCAACCCUUGUGAAUAGUUGUAUUUUUCUAUUCAGACUGCCCCGGUAACGGGGAGGAAGGAGGGGAUGAUGUCAGGUCAGUAUUACUCUUACAUCCUGGGCUAGAAACACGAUACAAUGGCUAGUACAAUGCGCAGCGAAGCCGCGAGGUGGAGCAAAUCGCAUCAAAGCUAGUCCCAGUUCGGAUAAGAGGCUGAAACUCGCCUCUUUGAAGUCGGAAUCGCUAGUAAUCGCAAAUCAGCAAGUUGCGGUGAAUACGUUCCCGGGUCUUGUACACACCGCCCGUCAAACCAUGAAAGUCACCAACACCCGAAGUCCGAUUCGUCGGCCUAAGGUGGGGGGGAUGAUUGGGGGUU
rnacentral:rRNA from 1 species